GAGCCUUCCGCGACUGGGAGACGCUCUGACUUUUAAUCAGAGGGCCCUGGGUUCGAGUCCCAGCGCACUCACCA
rnacentral:tRNA from 1 species